CAAUCCUCGAACCCCUCCGGGGGGUCGGCGUUGGGGAUCGGGAACCCCUCAGACGGGAUCCCGGCCCCGAAAUACAGUGGCGGUCUCGCCGCAGCCUCUCCUGCGCAGUAGUUUGCACAACUCGCACCGGGAGCGCGGCGCGUCCACGUCCGUAAAACACCCAACUUCUGAAA
rnacentral:misc_RNA from 1 species